GAUGGUUAGACACCAUUGGAAAGGUAAAAAGAAUGAGGGUGCCAUUAUAACCCCUUGAUGCCCUUUUUGGUCUUGGAGGUCAUUGCACCUCUUUUCUUCAUCGUAUUUUUUCUCGAGUAGGUACAUCGACGCCACAAGUACAUAC
ensembl:ncRNA K08A8.10 ncRNA